UACAGGGGGCGCGAGCGUUGCUCGGAAUCACUGGGCGUAAAGCGUACGCAGGCGGAUCGAUAAGUCCGUUGUGAAAUCCCGGGGCUCAACCCCGGAAAUGCGAUGGAGACUGCCGAUCUUGAGUACGGGAGAGGGGAGCGGAAUUCCUGGUGUAGAGGUGAAAUUCGUAGAUAUCAGGAGGAACACCGGUGGCGAAAGCGGCUCCCUGGCCCGAUACUGACGCUCGUGUACGAAAGCGUGGGGAGCAAACAGG
rnacentral:rRNA from 1 species